UGUCUAUCAUCUCAGCGUUUGAAAAAAGUCCCUCUUGGUCCGCCGUUGAGAUCUGCGCAUGCGCAGUAGUUGUUACUGCCUCAUUACCGCCUGAGCCUGUGGUGGAGAGGCGCUCAUCCACCAGUAUUCAGCACGAUCACUAACUCAUUGCAUGAUCAAAACGGCCUGUCGUGCGAUUCAUGAACAAAUCUUUAUCCAAAGCCAGUAGUGGAGUCAUCCCAGAAGCCAAGAGCAGCUUUUAUUUCCACCUCAGCAGCCGCCGGGCUUCUCUUUUGGACUGUCGGGUUGACGUUGAACUUGCUUCUGUAAACCCAUUUUCUCCAACUUGGUCGUCAUGGCAACUGAGGAGAAGAAACCAGACACGGAGGCUACUAAAACACAGCCGGCAUCAGCUGCCUCCGCCAGCCAGAGCAAGUCAGCACCUGUGAAGCCAAACUAUACUUUGAAAUUCACAUUGGCUGGCCAUACAAAAGCAGUCUCUUCUGUCAAGUUCAGUCCAAGUGGGGAGUGGCUCGCAAGCUCAUCUGCUGAUAAGCUGAUCAAAAUAUGGGGUGCAUAUGAUGGCAAGUUUGAAAAGACGAUAUCUGGACACAAACUGGGCAUCUCGGAUGUGGCCUGGUCCUCUGACUCAAACCUCCUGGUCUCAGCUUCCGAUGACAAGACACUGAAAAUUUGGGAUGUGAGCUCUGGGAAGUGUUUAAAGACACUGAAGGGUCACAGCAACUAUGUAUUUUGCUGUAACUUCAACCCUCAGUCCAACCUCAUCGUAUCUGGAUCUUUUGACGAGAGUGUGAGGAUUUGGGAUGUUAAAACAGGAAAAUGUCUCAAGACGCUGCCAGCGCACUCAGACCCUGUCUCUGCAGUUCAUUUCAACAGAGAUGGCUCAUUGAUUGUUUCCAGCAGUUAUGAUGGACUUUGCCGUAUAUGGGACACGGCAUCAGGGCAGUGCCUUAAAACACUGAUUGAUGAUGACAACCCACCUGUGUCAUUUGUGAAGUUCUCCCCCAAUGGCAAAUACAUCCUGGCUGCCACUCUGGAUAACACUUUGAAGCUUUGGGACUACAGCAAGGGAAAGUGUUUGAAAACAUAUACCGGUCAUAAAAACGAGAAGUACUGCAUAUUUGCUAAUUUCUCUGUCACUGGUGGAAAGUGGAUUGUCUCCGGCUCAGAGGACAACAUGGUCUAUAUUUGGAACCUUCAGACCAAGGAGAUCGUACAGAAACUACAGGGGCACACAGAUGUGGUGAUCUCAACCGCAUGUCAUCCCACAGAAAACAUCAUUGCAUCAGCAGCACUAGAAAAUGACAAAACCAUCAAACUUUGGAAGAGCGACUGCUAAGCCUCCAGCUUAUUUUACUUUAUUAUUUUGUUAAUUUUGUACUAUUCAUUUUGUGUGGGGGGGAAGAGACUUUUUUUGUUUUUCAUUUGAAAGGUCACGCUAGACCAUUCACACUGACAUCAGGGCUCAGCAAGAGGACUGGCGAAAGCGCACUAGCCCGACAUACAGUACCCUCUCCUAACACAGCUCUCCGCUCACGUGAACUAAAGCAGUCACUUUCUCUCUGCCUUGCCGCCAGCUCUCGUUCAUCAGUUUAAGCAUCCAGCAAAACUUUUAACCAAUCUGUAAAUUUAGGCAGCUUUGUUUGAACUCCACAGACGUAUUAGGACAACGAGUGUUCCUGUCUUUUGGGGGUUUUUUUCCUGUAAGUUUUGUAGAAUGACAUCUAUCUGUCUAUCAGUGGUUUGCACACUUCCUGAUGCCAGCAGAAUGCCUUGGGCACAUUUUAAGUGGCCAUUUUAACAAAUGUUUGGAGUAUUACAAUUUCUCUGCCUGUAUUUGUGGCAGUUAUAUGAGCAGUUUGCAGCUUCACUCCAUUUAUUUGGCCGAAAAGAGGUUUUUCCAACUUCUCAGUUGUGAACGCCUCAAAGACUUACCUUGACUUACCAAUGUCAAAUGAAACCUCUAUGUAUGAAAUGUGUUGUCUGGCAGAAGGGUGUUUUGAACGUCCACUAUUUCAUGUUUAUUUCUGUACAGCACAAAAAUGCAACUAUUAUAUCAGCAAUUAAAACAAUUCAUUGUGUUAUAGUUGCUAAGCUAGUUGUCAGACAUCAAAUAUGGUUUUCAGUGGCUCAAUGUCGUCUAGGCAGUGCUAUCAAUAAAACAUUCUCUUUUGUUAUAUAACCCUAUAGCAGUCGCAGACAUAAUGUAUGCCAAAACUUCACUUUAUUCCUACAGUUGUAACUACCUGUAACACCUCUGUUCAUAUCAGUUUUGGUGCUUAUGAAAAAUAAAACUACAAUAUAUCUGGAUGGAACAGCACCUUGGUCAGACCUUUUAGAGAAAGUAUCACUUAAAAGAAAAGGUUUCUAGUAGACUUCAAUUACACAAGCAACAAAUGUUCAUUCUGAGAUACAAAAACCAUUCUUACCAGCACAAUCUGGUAAAACGCAUUUAGUUUCUAAUUAUGAUGUGGUUUCAAUUACACAACUUAUGCAAGGAGGAGUGUUGCUGUGAAGUGGAUAUACUAUAACCUUUUAUCUUGUGACCAAAAGCAGUCUGGAUGUAUUUAGAGCCUUGAGAUGUUUCUGUAUCUGACACUUUGUACAUACUUGCAGCUUCUCUGUUCUUUGAUACGUUUACCUCUGUUCUGUGGUCUUAUUAACUGUCUCAAGUAGGUGAUAGUACUUUAAGAGUACUUUUUAUUUUUCCUGCUCGAUGUGGAUGAUGGUUUGGCAUUAAUGCAUCCUCUGCCUCUGGACUCUCUGUUCUUGACCGGAUUUCAAGUGCACUGCAGUGAUGACAAGGGCCGCCGCAUGAGGAAUUCUAUCUGUAUUGCAUUUAGUCACUUUGGACAUGACCUGUGACUCAAUAAAGAUUUUUUUUUUUUU